rnacentral:rRNA from 1 species
GACGUAGGGCGCGAGCGUUGUCCGGAUUUAUUGGGCGUAAAGAGCUCGUAGGCGGUCUGUCACGUCGGAUGUGAAAACUCGGGGCUCAACCCCGAGCCUGCAUACGAUACGGGCAGACUUGAGUUCGGCAGGGGAGACUGGAAUUCCUAGUGUAGAGGUGAAAUUCGUAGAUAUUAGGAAGAACACCAGUGGCGAAGGCGGCUCACUGGCCCGGUACUGACGCUGAGGCGCGAAAGCGUGGGGAGCAAACAGG